rnacentral:sRNA from 1 species
GAAGUAUUGGAAUCUGUUUUAGGAGACAAUCAAGACAAGGAAACAGGGGUAAAAAAGUUACCUGGAGUAAUGCUUUUCAAGAAAAAGAAGACCAGGAAGCUAAAAAUUGCUCUGGCUUUAUCUGAUCUUGUCAUUUAUACGAAAGCUGAGAAGUUCAAAAGCUUUCAACAUUCAAGAUUAUAUCAGCAAUUUAAUGAAAAUAAUUCUAUUGGGGAGACACAAGCCCGAAAACUUUCAAAAUUGCGAGUCCAUGAGUUUAUUUUUCACACCAGGAAGUUCAUUACCAGAAUAUAUCCCAAAGCAACAAGAGCAGACUCUUCUAA